ensembl:lncRNA
CAGAGCUCAGUGUUGGGGUCUCACAGCUCAGGGAGGAAUGUGCCAAAAAUCCCCCUGCAGCUCCUUCCAGUCCUUAACCAGGCUCGGUCAGCUCUGCACAGCUCUGCAUGGCAUAGCACGGCACAGUGUAACACGGCGUGGCAUGGCUCCAUGUGGCUCAGCACAGCAAGGCAUGGCACAGCACAGCGUGGUGUGGCUUGGCUCGAUACAGCACGGCUUGGCACAGCAAGGUCACUCCCUGGGAUGCCCUUGGUCCAUUGGGGCACACAUCAUAUCAGGGCCAUUUCGACAGCAACACACAUUGCCUCCACAGGUUCAGACUAUAGGAAUGAGCUCACAGAGCAAAACCAGGCAGCUGGAGUCAGCUACUCCCUAGAAUCAUCCAUUACCCCAUGACAGGAGGGGAAGUCGGGGACACGCUGCUCAGGGGAGGAUGAGGCCAGAACCAGAGGGCGGUGCUGAAGAACCGAAGGGAACGCGGUGACAUCUGGACAAGCCAUCAGCGGUAUCAGCCCACACGUCACAGCCGAGAAAUCCACGGGCUUGAUGGAUGUAGAGUAAAACUGAAAUGAAAUGCUGGGAGAUAAUGGCCUCGCGUGCUGCUCCCCCUGCCCUGCACCGUGUUGCUGGCUCCAUGCAGCCUGCAGAGAUAGCAGCUCCUGCACUGCCCUGCAGCAUCCUCGGGGCCACAGCAGCACCAGCGCUGCCGGCACGGGAGGGACCUGGGACAAAGCCUUCAUUGGAGGAGGAGGGAAGCAGUGAGGAAGAUGGGGUGCAAUCCGUGCUGAUGGAAAUAAACACAUUCCCCAACAGCUGCACAGGAAAAUAGCCUCUUCCCACUUUCUGCACUCGGGAAGAUGGAGAGGUCGGUGGGGUGAUGGUGCAAUCUCAUGGCCAACUCCUUCCAUGCCGGGCAGUUUGAGGUGCCCCAUCCACACACAACCUCCAGCAGCAGCUGCAGGUGUAACACUGGGAACAUAAAUAAAAGACAGCCAGAGAAUGGGAUUUCUUUGGAGGCUGUGAAGCAAAGAGCCUCACCACUAAUGCAUCUUACCAGUUCUGACCAACAAAAUCUCCAUUUCAUUUGGCCACUGACCACACUCACACUGCAGAGGUGACGGCAGUGCCUGGUGCAGCCCGUCCUUCGUUUGGAAUUCUGUGUUGGUUUUUUGAUAUCCUCUAAUUUCUCCAUGCUGAGGCAAAUUUGUCACACGCAUGGGUCUGUUUGAUUUCAUUAAACAGAAUAUUUAAGCAUAAAAAUUGUUUAAUCGCCUUGUGUCAUUAUGAGAUGAAUUUCAUUUUGCAUACAUUUGCAUAUUUCAUCAAA